rfam:Oryza sativa Japonica Group DNA, chromosome 12, cultivar: Nipponbare, complete sequence.
UUUCAGCUUUUUAUAUAACGUUUGACUAUACGUCUUAUUUUAAAAAAAAUAUGAUUAGUAUUUUUAUUGUUAUUAGAUGAUAAAAUAUGAAUAGUAUUUUAUGCGUGACUAUUUUUUAAAUUUUUUCAUAAAUUUUUUAAAUAAAUAAGACGGAUGGUCAAAUGAUUGACAUAGAAACUUAAAAAUGCGUUCAAU